UCUGUCACUUAUAGAUGGACCCGCGGCGUAUUAGCUAGUUGGUGAGGUAACGGCUCACCAAGGCAACGAUACAUAGCCGACCUGAGAGGGUGAUCGGCCACACUGGGACUGAGACACGGCCCAGACUCCUACGGGAGGCAGCAGUAGGGAAUCUUCCGCAAUGGGCGAAAGUCUGACGGAGCAACGCCGCGUGAGUGAAGAAGGUUUUCGGAUCGUAAAGCUCUGU
rnacentral:rRNA from 1 species